AUUGAACGCUGGCGGCAUGCCUAACACAUGCAAGUCGAACGGCAGCAUGGAUUGUAGCAAUACAAUCUGAUGGCGAGUGGCGGACGGGUGAGUAAUCCGUAGGGAUUUGCCUUAAAGAGGGGGACAACCCGGGGAAACUCGGGCUAAAUACCGCAUACUACUCUGAGGAGGAAAGGUUUAGGUUAAACCAGACGCUUUAAGAUGAACCUACGGCCGAUUAGCUAGUUGGUGGGGUAAGGCUUACCAAGGCGACGAUCGGUAGCUGUUCUGAGAGGAAGAUCAGCCACACUGGGACUGAGACACGGCCCAGACUCC
rnacentral:rRNA from 1 species